AGUAAAAGUCGUAACAAGGUUUCCGUAGGUGAACCUGCGGAAGGAUCAUUACACAUUUUGGCCGUAACAAGCCUUAACCCUUCUCUACGCGUACCUCCACAUUCUCCUUCGGCGGGGUAACGCCCGCCGUCGGAACCUCAACAACCCUCUUUGCAUCUAGCAUCAUACCGGUUCUGAUAAAAAUACAAUCGUUACAACUUUCAACAAUGGAUCUCUUGGCUCUGGCAUCGAUGAAGAACGCAGCGAAAUGCGAUAAGUAGUGUGAAUUGCAGAAUUCAGUGAAUCAUCGAAUCUUUGAACGCACAUUGCGCCCCUUGGUAUUCCAUGGGGCAUGCCUGUUCGAGCGUCAUCUACACCCUCAAGCUCUGCUUGGUGUUGGGCGUCUGUCCCGCCUCCGCGCGUGGACUCGCCCCAAAUCCAUUGGCAGCGUCCCUUGCCCCCUCUCGCGCAGCACAUUGCGCUUCUCGAGGGCGGCUCCGGGGCGCGACCCACCGAAGAUGACCACCGUCUUUGACCUCGGAUCAGGUAGGGAUACCCGCUGAACUUAAGCAUAUCAAUAAGCGGAGGAAAAGAAACCAACAGGGAUUGCCCCAGUAACG
rnacentral:rRNA from 1 species